rnacentral:rRNA from 1 species
GACGAACGCUGGCGGCGUGCUUAACACAUGCAAGUCGAACGAUGAAGCUAGAGCUUGCUCUGGUGAAUUAGUGGCGAACGGGUGAGUAACACGUGAGUAACCUGCCCCGAACUCUGGGAUAACUGCUGGAAACGGUAGCUAAUACUGGAUACGACCUACGAAGGCAUCUUCUGUAGGUGGAAAGAAUUUCGGUUCGAGAUGGACUCGCGGCCUAUCAGCUUGUUGGUGAGGUAAUGGCUCACCAAGGCGACGACGGGUAGCCGGCCUGAGAGGGUGACCGGCCACGCUGGGACUGAGACACGGCCCAGACUCCUACGGGAGGCAGCAGUGGGGAAUAUUGCACAAUGGGCGCAAGCCUGAUGCAGCAACGCCGCGUGAGGGAUGACGGCCUUCGGGUUGUAAACCUCUUUUAGUAGGGAAGAAGCGAAAGUGACGGUACCUGCAGAAAAAGCACCGGCUAACUACGUGCCAGCAGCCGCCGUAA